UACGUAGGGUGCAAGCGUUAUUCGGAAUUAUUGGGCGUAAAGGGCGCGUAGGCGGCUUUGCAAGUGACGGGUGAAAUCCCUCGGCUUAACCGAGGAACUGCCUGUCAAACUGCAUGGCUUGAGACCGGGAGAGGUGAGUGGAAUUCCCAGUGUAGCGGUGAAAUGCGUAGAUAUUGGGAGGAACACCAGUGGCGAAGGCGGCUCACUGGACCGGUACUGACGCUGAUGCGCGAAAGCGUGGGGAGCGAACGGG
rnacentral:rRNA from 1 species